GAUCCUGGCUCAGGAUGAACGCUAGCUACAGGCUUAACACAUGCAAGUCGAGGGGAACGAUAUUGGAAGCUUGCUUCCGAUAGGCGUCGACCGGCGCACGGGUGAGUAACGCGUAUCCAACCUGCCCAUCACUUGGGGAUAACCUUGCGAAAGUAAGACUAAUACCCAAUGACGUCUCUAGAAGACAUCUGAAGGAGAUUAAAGAUUUAUCGGUGAUGGAUGGGGAUGCGUCUGAUUAGCUUGUUGGCGGGGUAACGGCCCACCAAGGCGACGAUCAGUAGGGGUUCUGAGAGGAAGGUCCCCCACAUUGGAACUGAGACACGGUCCAAACUCCUACGGGAGGCAGCAGUGAGGAAUAUUGGUCAAUGGGCGAGAGCCUGAACCAGCCAAGUAGCGUGAAGGAUGACUGCCCUAUGGGUUGUAAACUUCUUUUAUAAAGGAAUAAAGUCGGGUAUGUAUACCCGUUUGCAUGUACUUUAUGAAUAAGGAUCGGCUAACUCCGUG
rnacentral:rRNA from 1 species